AAUCCCUGUUUGAAAAAUGUCGCACGUCGUACGAGUUGUCGCACGGUUUUGAUUUUACCGUUUCGAUAUCGAUUGGUCGAAAGGACGACAAACGUACGACAAACACUCGACAUGCCCGACGUUGUUUUUUCCAUCGAUUUACCUUCAAUUCGACGUCGAUUAUCGUCGACGCAAACAGUUUGACAGUUCUCUUCAGUUGAACUUGUUCGGACUUGAUUGCAACCGAGUCGAACAAAUUGUUGUUGGUUUUAGGCUUUGGGAGGAUUUUGGCCAGUUUAAAGGUAAGUUGUGUUCUAGAUUGAAUUACUUUUUCUGCCGGAAAGUUCCGGCCGGAGUGGGCGACAACCGAAUCAAAUUGUCUUGUAUUCCAGAUUGCGGUCUUGGUGGCGGUAUAGGAGGAAGAGGAGGACGGGAAAUAUGGAUUACUCGGCGAGCCAUUCCGGAAGACGGGACGGGAAGGAACCAGUUUGCGAUCGAGGAAGCCGUUAGUGUUUGGUGUUUUACUUUCCGCGGGAGGUUGCCUCCAUAUCUAAUGGAACUGGCAACAAACAUAUUCUGAUCUGAUCCUGCCGGAAACCAUGCGUCCCCGUGUGGUCCCGCGUGGCUUCCGUAGAACCCAAGGAAGCAGCCUCUCGUACUCCGGUAAACAUCAAUCCGUCGGAGGUUCAAGAUCGUCGCCAAGGUGUCGCAUCCGGGUUUUGAUCAGCGCGUCGAGGAGCAAAAGUCCAACACGGCCAAGAUGCUGCCACGGCCGCCUCCAACAUCCAAGCCGGAAGCUGCGGUCAAGGCAAAU